UACGGGGGGAGCAAGCGUUGUUCGGAUUUACUGGGCGUAAAGGGCGCGUAGGCGGCGCAACAAGUCACUUGUGAAAUCUCCGGGCUUAACCCGGAGCGGCCAAGUGAUACUGUCGUGCUAGAGUGCGGAAGGGGCUACUGGAAUUCCCGGUGUAGCGGUGAAAUGCGUAGAGAUCGGGAAGAACAUCGGUGGCGAAGGCGGCCUGCUGGGCUGUUGCUGACGCUGAGGCGCGACAGCGUGGGGAGCAAACAGG
rnacentral:rRNA from 1 species